GGAGUCGGCUUAACAGGCAUAGUGGAGUUUGAUUGAGAUAGGGAUCGGAUAUGGCUAUAACUAGGAGCUCGAUCGGUUGCAAGCAGGGGGGCGACGGAGAGCAUGUGAAAGGCUUUGUUUGGGUCAGUCGACUCCAGCUAUGAGAGGGAGGUAGGGCACGAAUCAGAGGAGUAUAAAGAGAUCGGGGGGUCUGCAAUCGAUUUUUUGCCGUUGGGUUACACAGGUAAGGUGAAAGCGCGGGCGUACACACACACACACACUCUCUCUCUCUCUCUCUCUCUCUCUCUCUUUCUUUAAGCUGAGAGAAUUAGAAGGUGGAGUGGGGAAUCGGGACAGGGAGAUUGGGUCUGGCCUUUAGUUCGGCUGUUGAGGUCAAAAGGAUGGAGCGACAGACCGGAAGGCUUUGAGGAAGAGCGAAAGUUGGAUGGGGUUAGAGGUUUAGACGUCAGAGAAGGAGAAAGAGGCUGGGGUCGUGUGCAUGGAGGAAGAAGAGUAGAUAUGGGAGCUUCAAUUGAGUGGCGAGGAAAGAGCUAGAGAGCAUUGUGGGAGAGAAGAACAGCAAAUGAGAUCCUUUACUCUCAUUUUAAUGAUACACAGCAAGAGCAGUGAUUGUGGUAAGCAUGGGAUGAUUGCAAAUGGCGUCGAAUCACAGGGUAUGGGUCGCAACUGUAGAAGAAACAAGAGCAACAAUUUGGGUGAAAUUUUGCUACAGGUAUCCAAAGUGAAAAAUAAAGGCACUUCAUAGGAAAUUAUUUAUUCAUUUGGGUACCCUUUUAAAGGACAAACCAUACAAAGACCGAAGGAAGAUGAUCUAAAGACAUGAAGAUGAAGACUUGAAGAAGAAAUGCCUUAAUUUUAAGACUUCCACCAUUCUAUAGGAUUAGAAUCCAGGUUGUCAUUGGCGCUUGACCACUAUUACUUUUUUACAAACUCUAGGUUGUACUUAUAUAACACUUUCCAUGGACUUUCUUUUAUACUCUGUCUAGUUUUAUUUAUAUUGAUGUGUUUACUGUUAUUUGCACCAUAAAAA